UCUGCCUCCUGAGUGCUGAGACUAAAGGCGUGUGCCACCACGCCCGGCUCCAAGUUCUUUAAUAACAGCCCAAAUUAAUUGGCCCAAUUUUGACCCAAAUUUGACAAGUGUGGUAGUUUGUAUAUGCUUGCCCUAGGGUGUGGCACAUUAGAAGGUAUGACCUUUUGGAAGUAGGUCUGUCAUUGUGGACAUGGGCUUUUGUUUGUUUGUUUGUUUCAAGGAAAUUCUUUUUUUUUAAUUAGAUAUUUAAUUUAUUUAUAUUUUUUUUUUUCUUUUUUGGAUCUUUUCUCUGUUUACAUUUCAAAUGUUAUCCCCUUUCCCGGUUUCCCUCCUUCCUGGAAACACCCUAUCACCCCCUCCCCCCCACCUUCUAUGAGGGUGUUCCUCCAUCCAUCCACCCACUCCCACCUCCCCCACCCUCAAUUCCCCUAUGCUGGGGCAUCUAUCUAGUCUUCAUAGGACCAAGGACCUCUCCUCACAUUGAUGCAUGACAAGGCCAUCCUCUGCUACAUAUGCAGCUGGAGCCAUGAGUACUCCUUUGUUGAUGGCUUAGUCCCUGGGAGCUAUGGGGAAUCUGGUUGGUUGAUAUUGUUGUUCUUCCUAUGGGGUUGCAGACCCCUUCAACUCCUUCAGUCCUUUCUCUUAUCUCCCCGAUUGGGGACCCCACGCUCAGUCCAAUGGUUGGCUGUAAACAUCCACCUCUGUAUUUGUCAGGCUCUGGGAGGGCCUCUCAGGAGACAGCCAUAUCAGGCUCCUUUCAGCAAGCACUUCUUGACAUAUACUAUUGUGGAUGCCAAGAAGGGCAUGGGCUUUAAUACCCUCUACUUAGCUGCCUGGAAGCCCGUCUUCUCCUAGCAGCCUUCGGAUGAAGAUGUAGAACUCUCAGCUCUGCCUGCACCAUGCCUCUCUGGAUGCUGCCAUGCUCCCUCCUUGAUAAUGGACUAAAACUCUGAACCUGCAAGGCAGCACCAAUUAAAUGUCGCCUUUGUCAUGGUGUCUUCUCACAGCAGUAAAACCCUAAGACAAACAGGGAUUUUCCCCCCUUAUUAUUGUCACCUCUUCAGAUUCUGUCUCAUACUUCAUUUGAAAUUCCUUCAAAAACUGGGGAUUGUACUUGUGCUCCUCCACACCACCUCCCCACUCCCCCAGAUCCAUCAUGCCUCCACCUCCCUUCAGAAAGUAAGAGGCUUCCCAGGGAUAGCAACGAAACAUGGCACAACAACCUACAGUAAGACCAGGCACACCAUCACAUCAAGGCUGGCAAAGGCAACCCAGGAGGAGGAGAAAGGACCCACAAGUAGGCAAAAAAAAGUCAGGGAUAGACGCUGCUAUCCCUCUUGAGUUCCACAAGAACACCAAGCUAUUUAGCCAUAACAUCUGCAGAGAACCUAAACCAGACAGACCCCUUCAGGCUCCUUGAUCUUUUUGUGCACUUAUGAAUGGUAUAGCUGGGCCUUGAGGUAGAUCAAUUUCCAACUUUCUGAGAAACCACCAUAUUGACUUCCAAAGUAACUACUAUACAGGUUCACACUCCUACCAUCAGUGAAGUAUUCCCCUUGCUCCACAUCCUUGCCAACAUAAGCUGUCACUUGUGUUUCUGAUCUUAGCCAUUCUAAUGGGUAUAAGAUGGAAUCUCAAAGUCAUUUUGAUUUGCAUUUCCCUGAUGGCUACGGAUGUUGAACAUUUUUUUUAAGUGUCUCUCAGCCAUUUGAUAAUCCUCUAUUGAGAAUUCUCUGUUUAGAUCUAUACCCUACUUUUUAAUUGGAUUGUUUGGUUUGUUCAUGUCUAGUUUAUUCAGUUCUUUAUAUAUUUUGUAUAUUAGUCCUCCAUCAGAUGUGAAGUUGGUGAAAAUAUUCCUUCACUCUAUAGGCUGCUGUUUUGUCCUUUGGAUGCUGUCCUUUUCUUUACAGAAGCUUUUCAGUUUCACGAGUCCCAUUUAUUAAGUAUCAAUCUUAGUGUCUGAGCUAUGCGUGUUCUGUUCAGGAAGUUGUCUCCUGUGCCUAUGCAUUGAAGGUUAUUACCCACUUUCUCUUCUAUCAGGUUCAAUGUAUCUGAUUUGGGGCCCCAUUUCAUGAGAAGGUAGAUUACCACAAUCUUGGCUUGGAAAAAUGAUCGAAUACCUAAAGGCAGUUUUACAGAGGAGAAUGUGAAAUUCAGUGCCUCAACUGAGUGCCCUCCUUUUUUUUUCCAGAUAGCUUAUACAUUCUAAGCUACUAACUUUCUGACUUGACACCAAGGUGUUAAUGAAAGCGAUGUGUGCUGGUGGGGAUCCAUAGAGUAAAAGCAUCACAGACUGUUUCAGCUUUCCCUUAACUUAUGUAGGUAAGGACUUUACUCCCCCUAAAACCUAUAGAUUGCUACAUGCCCCAUUUGUCACUAAGUGGCUGUGUGGACAAAAUGCUAGAUACAGUUGUGAACUCGUUUCAGGCUCUUGCCUGGAUGUCUAUGCUUACAGAUUUUGCCUAGGUGAACUGACGUACCUUCUAGCGAUAUUUUCUUUGGGGAGUGUGUCACAUAGCUAGGGUUCUAGUUAGGAGAACUUAGUGAUCUCAUGGAGGAGGUUGGGUGUGGGUGCCAUAAAGGCCAAAUGCCAGGUGAUUUGUGGUCUACAAGUUGUCAGGGUAGGCUCAGGAGCAGUCAGUAAGAGGGUUCUAGAACACUUCUCAGUAUGGAAUGUAAGAAUUAACUCAUUACAGUCUUGAGAAUUCUGUGCAAAG
rnacentral:lncRNA from 1 species